ensembl:lncRNA
UAAAUGCAAUGCUGGCAGAAGGAAUGAGGAAAAAGAUUAAAAAGAGGAAGAUUCUCAAAACAAUGCUUAGGUGUGGUGAAAAAAUCCUCUUAAUCCACCUGCAAUUUCAGGUAUUUCAUCAGUAAUACCUAAGUAAACUAAAAACUACAAGCUGAUGCCUGCAGUCACACUGUAUGAAGUUUGUGUCACUCCUCCCCUACAACCUACAACUCAGCUCCCAUUUGCUGGCUACUUUCAUCAGCACGUAAAAGACUGAACCAGAGUACAGUAUUACAUACACUGCUGCAGAUCACAAGGCAAAGGAAAUUACAAUCAAAAUCCAAGAAACCGAAGAAUGGAUCCCAGCCAGUUUUCCAAUCAGCCUCCAGAAGCCUACAAUUCAUCUGAGAAAUCAGGGAUGCCUACAGCAGCACCACCAGCAUACCAGCACAAUCCUGCUGGAUAUCCUCCUUCCUUUCCAAACCAGCCGGUCCCCCAGGGCCCCUACACCCAGGGACCAUAUCCAGGACAGCCUGUGGUCACUGUGCAGCCUGCAGUUUUUGUGACUGCUGCUCCACUGGCUGAUCCAGUGCCAGAUUACCUGGGUUACUCCAUCUUCACCAUGCUGUGCUGCUGCUUACCUCUGGGCAUCGCUGCGCUGAUUUACUCCAUCUCUACUCGAGAUGCCUACUACUCAGGACAGCGAGAAUUAGCAGAGAAGAACUCCAAAAUGGCACGUACCCUAAAUCACAUCGGCCUUGGUAUUGGCCUUGUUUUCAUUGUAUUGGUCAUUAUCACCCAGAUUGUGAUUUGGACUACUAGAUAAAAGCUGUUAGAACUGACAUGGUUGGAUGCAGAUUGCAAACAGAUUUGUUUUUCUGUAUUUUAAAUGUUACUAGCACAAUUUAUCAGUACUCUAAUAUGCGUUAAGGCCUAUUGUUGUAUGUUUAAACCAAUGAAGGCUACCACACAGUUGUCUUUAGGCUACUUCUGUAAUGUGUUGUUCAGACUUUUUGCUUAUGUUACAUAUCUUCUGUGCUGCUGUGCUAAUUUUAUAUACAGAAAUAAAACAUAGCAUAUAUGUGUACUUUUUUAGGUACAUAUGUACAUAAAUCUGUAUGUCUGUCUAUCUAUCUUUUUUGUUGUUAUUUAAAAACCACAUUUAUCAUGCAGGAAGUGGUGCGUCUGGCAGUUAAUCUGAGAGGAUUGUACAACCCACGUAUAUAUAGUAUGUGUGUAAUAGGUCUUCACGAUUGAAUAUCUUUAAAGAAACUCCCAAACAAUUUAACAAUCUGAGGAUAAAUUAAUAAACAAAUAAAUGACUAUAUGAUUUGAGUUAUUACCUACAGUAUCUGAAACAUUUUAAGAAAUGAAUGUCAAAUGAAUGAAUGCCCACCCCCCAAGAGAGUACCACGACCACUGAUCUAUAUAUGACUAUAUUCUAUAUUAUAGAUCAGUGACCACGACGCACGCAAACAAGGCACAGCGCAUGCGUAUUCUACAUCUGAGUCAGCAGCAUCACACGCCUCGUGGAACUCGCGUGAACGGCAGCAGAGGCAGACUGGACGAAAAGAAUUUGUUGAAUAAAGUCAUUAUUUUUGUUUUGUUUGUGCACCAAAAGGAUAUAUUCUCGUAGAUUCGUAAAAUUACGGUUGAUCCACUGAUGUCACAUGGACUAUUUUAACGAUGUCCUUUUUCGGGACCUUGAACGUGGUAGUUCAUUUUUUUAAACGAUUUUUAUUAUACUAACACAGAUGCUGUUAUAUUAAAACAACAAUUAAACCAUCCAUGUUUUAAUACAAGUAAUCACUCUCCUCAGAUUUAAGGAUUCAUACAUGAUGAAUGCGCAACUGCAGUAACCCACAGCUGCCAAAUCUCUGAAC